GGUAUUUGGUGUUUAGGAAUAACAGUUUUCACUAAUCAUAUUUGGUUUCUCUUGCGAAUAAUUGAUGUCAUUGCACUUUAGUGUGUCAUGAUGAAGGACGAGUGAUCUAUUUUUUGCUCAUCAUUCUAUUCUUUUGAAGGUUAUUCUUUCUGAUGCCAAUGUUCCUGGUGAAGGGGAACAUAAAAUUAUGUCGAAUAUUCGUCUUCAAAGAAACCUUCCUGGUUAUGAUCCCAACACACACCAUUGCUUGUAUGGUUUGGAUGCUGAUUUAAUCAUGUUGGCUUUGGCUACCCAUGAAGUCGAUUUUGCAAUAAUCAGGGAGGUCGUAUUUACCCCUGGACAACAAGAUUGGGUCAUUUAGCAGCAGACUGCGAAGGUAUGGUCUGCUCCAAAUUAUUGUUAUCGCUGUGGUAAUGUAGCUUCAAUAUUGAGCUUCAAUGGGAAUAUGGUACUGCCACUAAACUUUUCACUCUUUUAACGUGGUUGUGGCUAUUUGGCUCAUUUAUAUAGAUUUGAUUAAUUGAAUUUUCUAUGGGUGUUGUGUUUUACCCCUUUGUCUGUUAGGAGAGAGAGGUGAAGUUCUUCACUGAAAUAGAGGAAAAGAACCAGAUGAGAGGCCCCAGAACUGGAGUGCCUUUAUUUCUUAUGAGUGAGGAUUUGUUUGCUUCAUUACCCUGUACUAUUGUUUGA